AUUGAACGCUGGCGGCAUGCCUUACACAUGCAAGUCGAACGGCAGCACGGGGCAACCUGGUGGCGAGUGGCGAACGGGUGAGUAAUGCAUCGGAACGUACCCGGAAGUGGGGGAUAACGUAGCGAAAGUUACGCUAAUACCGCAUAUUCUGUGCGCAGGAAAGAGGGGGAUCUUCGGACCUCUUGCUUUCGGAGCGGCCGAUGUCAGAUUAGCUAGUUGGUGAGGUAAAGGCUCACCAAGGCGACGAUCUGUAGCGGGUCUGAGAGGAUGAUCCGCCACACUGGAACUGAGACACGGUCCAGACUCCUACGGGAGGCAGCAGUGGGGAAUUUUGGACAAUGGGCGCAAGCCUGAUCCAGCCAUGCCGCGUGAGUGAAGAAGGCCUUCGGGUUGUAAAGCUCUUUCGGCCGGGAAGAAAUCGCAUGGAUUAAUACUCUGUGCGGAUGACGGUACCGGCAUAAGAAGCACCGGCUAACUCCGUGCCAGCAGCCGCCGUAAAAC
rnacentral:rRNA from 1 species